GUCGGGAUAGCUCAGCCGGUAGAGCAGAGGACUGAAAA
rnacentral:tRNA from 1 species